rnacentral:rRNA from 1 species
GUUGUAUAGUCAAGUAAUUAAGUGCAUGUGGUGGAUGCCUUGGCAGUCAGAGGCGAUGAAAGACGUGAUAGCCUGCGAAAAGCUCCGGGGAGGCGGCAAAUAUCCUUUGAUCCGGAGAUGUCUGAAUGGGGGAACCCACCUACUUUAAGGUAGGUAUUGCAACAUGAAUACAUAGUGUUGCAAGGCGAACGAGGGGAAGUGAAACAUCUCAGUACCCUUAGGAAAAGAAAUCAAUUGAGAUUCCCUCAGUAGCGGCGAGCGAACGGGGAUCAGCCCAUUAAGUUAUGUGUGUUUUAGUGGAACGCUCUGGGAAGUGCGAACGUAGAGGGUGAUAUUCCCGUACACGAAAGGGCACACAUAAUGAUGACGAGUAGGGCGAGGCACGUGAAACCUUGUCUGAAUAUGGGGGGACCAUCCUCCAAGGCUAAAUACUCCUGACUGACCGAUAGUGAACCAGUACCGUGAGGGAAAGGCGAAAAGAACCCCUGUGAGGGGAGUGAAAUAGAUCCUGAAACCGCAUGCAUACAAGCAGUGGGAGCACCUUCGUGGUGUGACUGCGUACCUUUUGUAUAAUGGGUCAGCGACUUAUAUUCAGUAGCAAGGUUAACCGUAUAGGGGAGCCGUAGAGAAAUCGAGUCUUAAUAGGGCGUUUAGUUGCUGGGUAUAGACCCGAAACCAGGCGAUCUAUCCAUGAGCAGGUUGAAGGUUGGGUAACACUAACUGGAGGACCGAACCCACUGUCGUUGAAAAGCCAGGGGAUGACUUGUGGAUAGGGGUGAAAGGCUAAUCAAGCCUGGUGAUAGCUGGUUCUCCCCGAAAGCUAUUUAGGUAGCGCCUCGGACGAAUACCAUAGGGGGUAGAGCACUGUUUCGGCUAGGGGGUCAUCCCGACUUACCAAACCGAUGCAAACUCCGAAUACCUAUGAGUACUAUCCGGGAGACAGACUGCGGGUGCUAACGUCCGUAGUCAAGAGGAAAACAAUCCAGACCGCCAGCUAAGGCCCCAAAAUCAUAGUUAAGUGGGAAACGAUGUGGGAAGGCAUAGACAGCUAGGAGGUUGGCUUAGAAGCAGCCACCCUUUAAAGAAAGCGUAAUAGCUCACUAGUCGAGUCGGCCUGCGCGGAAGAUGUAACGGGGCUAAAACUAUGUGCCGAAGCUGCGGAUUGACANNNNNNNNNNNNNNNNNNNNNNNNNNNNNNNNNNNNNNNNNNNNNNNNNNNNNNNNNNNNNNNNNNNNNNNNNNNNNNNNNNNNNNNNNNNNNGUAUGCUGGAGGUAUCAGAAGUGCGAAUGCUGACGUGAGUAACGACAAAACGGGUGAAAAACCCGUUCGCCGAAAGACCAAGGGUUCCAGUCCAACGUUAAUCGGGGCUGGGUGAGUCGACCCCUAAGGCGAGGCCGAAAGGCGUAGUCGAUGGGAAAAUGGUUAAUAUUCCAUUACUUCUGUGUAAUGCGAUGAGAGGACGGAGAAGGCUAAAUCAGCCUGGCGUUGGUUGUCCAGGUGAAAGGAUGUAGGCAUGUAUCUUAGGCAAAUCCGGGGUACUCUAUGCUGAGAUCUGAUAGCAAGCUGUACUUGUACAGCGAAGUGGUUGAUGCCAUGCUUCCAGGAAAAGUCUCUAAGCUUCAGUUACACAGGAAUCGUACCCGAAACCGACACAGGUGGUCAGGUCGAGUAGACCAAGGCGCUUGAGAGAACUCUGCUGAAGGAACUAGGCAAAAUGGUACCGUAACUUCGGGAGAAGGUACGCUGUUGUUGGUGAUGGAACUCGCUUCCUGAGCUGACGACAGCCGCAGAAACCAGGCCGCUGCAACUGUUUAUUAAAAACAUAGCACUCUGCAAACACGAAAGUGGACGUAUAGGGUGUGAUGCCUGCCCGGUGCUGGAAGGUUAAUUGAUGGGGUUAGCGUAAGCGAAGCUCUUGAUCGAAGCCCCAGUAAACGGCGGCCGUAACUAUAACGGUCCUAAGGUAGCGAAAUUCCUUGUCGGGUAAGUUCCGACCUGCACGAAUGGCAUAAUGAUGGCGGCGCUGUCUCCAGCAGAGGCUCAGUGAAAUCGAAAUCGCUGUGAAGAUGCAGUGUACCCGCGGCUAGACGGAAAGACCCCGUGAACCUUUACUGCAGCUUGACACUGAACUUUGACCUUACUUGUGUAGGAUAGGUGGGAGGCUUUGAAGCUGGAACGCUAGUUCCAGUGGAGCCGUCCUUGAAAUACCACCCUGGUAAUGUUGAGGUUCUAACUCUGUCCCGUGAUCCGGGACGAGGACCGUGUCUGGUGGGUAGUUUGACUGGGGCGGUCUCCUCCUAAAGAGUAACGGAGGAGUACGAAGGUGCGCUCAGCGUGGUCGGAAAUCACGCGUAGAGUAUAAAGGCAAAAGCGCGCUUAACUGCGAGACCCACAAGUCGAGCAGGUACGAAAGUAGGUCUUAGUGAUCCGGUGGUUCUGUAUGGAAGGGCCAUCGCUCAACGGAUAAAAGGUACUCUGGGGAUAACAGGCUGAUACCGCCCAAGAGUUCAUAUCGACGGCGGUGUUUGGCACCUCGAUGUCGGCUCAUCUCAUCCUGGGGCUGAAGCAGGUCCCAAGGGUAUGGCUGUUCGCCAUUUAAAGAGGUACGCGAGCUGGGUUUAGAACGUCGUGAGACAGUUCGGUCCCUAUCUACCGUGGGCGCUGGAAAUUUGAGAGGAUCUGCUCCUAGUACGAGAGGACCAGAGUGGACGAACCUCUGGUGUACCGGUUGUGACGCCAGUCGCAUCGCCGGGUAGCUAUGUUCGGAAGGGAUAACCGCUGAAAGCAUCUAAGCGGGAAGCCUACCUCAAGAUAAGAUUUCCCUAGGACUUUAUGUCCUCUAAAGAGCCGUUCGAGACUAGGACGUUGAUAGGUUGGAUGUGGAAGCAUAGUGAUAUGUGAAGCUGACCAAUACUAAUUGCUCGUGAGGCUUGACUAUACAACACCCAAGCAGUUG